rnacentral:lncRNA from 1 species
AAAAAUGUAGGAUGGGGAGGGGGAUGUCAAUGGGGGGCCAGCACCAAAAGGAAAAAGAGAGUAACGAAAAGUGCACGAAAUAUGCGCCCUGUUAUUGCUAAUACGCAUUCCAGCUGCAGUUUUCGGCUCAGCCCAGUGGACUCACAAUGGAGUGGAAUGCCACUGUCGUCGCUGCCGGCAUGUCAAAGUGAAUAACUCAAUAGCCAUAUUGGGUGUCCACCUGUGCGAGAGCGGGAGAGGGAGAGGCAGAGAGCGGGCGAGUGGCAGCUUCAUCCAUCAGCAGGGGGGCCAGGGGCAGGAUUGGGGUCGCAGAAGGGGCGAGCACUUGCAAUUCCACGUAAAUCCACUCGAUGAGAGCACUUACAUGAGCUUGCGUUUGUCACAAACACACUCACACACACUUGGCAGCUCGCACACACUCACAGAAAUGGCCGUUAAAAUUCUUGACAACCCGAUAUGGUAAUGAUAAUUUCGCACAUUGAGCCGCAAUUUACACUUCUGCGGAAUAAAACAAAAGCAAAGUCCGAGGCAAUCGCCAAUCCACAGCCAUUUACAGAGCCACUCGAUUUAUACGGGUAUCCAGUAUCCAGCUAUCCAAGUACCUAGGUAUCCAAGUAUCCAGCUAUACAAGUAUCGAAGUAUUCAACUAUCCAGUGAAGUUCUGCUGCGCGUAUUACCACCCAACCAGGUAAGCUUGGCCAUCAACUUUAGCCAUCAGCCAUCCGGGGAAUCCCAUUUGAUCCCGGGAAUGCAUCGGGGACACGCGCAGCGCAUAAUCUUUAAUUAGCAAUGACCACAAACGCCCAGCUGAGCAAUGCGAAAAUGCCAGCUGAGUGGAAAAGAAAAGCGAGUGAAAAACCAGAAAACAGCAGCAGUUAACAAACAAAUAUGCAAACCAUUAUGACACACGCGGUGCUACACAGAGAACAAUAGGAUCUUGAAAGCUAACGAGCACAUAAUACACUUGAAUACAUAUGAAAAACAUAAAUAGUACUUCAAAGAUGAGUUAAGAGUUCAAUGGGCAUAAGGUUGCAAGGUUCUUGUACUGAUGAAAGGGUAUGAUGACCUCUAUUUUCUAUUACUUAGUUUUUUUAGUUAUGGUUAAUAUUCGACCACUUCUAUAUGCUCAUUUUCCGUCAGUGUACGCUCUUAAGCAGACAAGCACUUGAAAACCGCAUUUAAAAUAACUCGCGGGACCUGAGAAACCUCCGCGUGGAUGGAAGUAGAGCACCUUGGGAG